rnacentral:rRNA from 1 species
AGUGAACGCUGGCGGUAGGCCUAACACAUGCAAGUCGAACGGCAGCACAGUAAGAGCUUGCUCUUACGGGUGGCGAGUGGCGGACGGGUGAGGAAUACAUCGGAAUCUACUUUUUCGUGGGGGAUAACGUAGGGAAACUUACGCUAAUACCGCAUACGACCUACGGGUGAAAGCAGGGGAUCUUCGGACCUUGCGCGAUUGAAUGAGCCGAUGUCGGAUUAGUUAGUUGGCGGGGUAAAGGCCCACCAAGGCGACGAUCCGUAGCUGGUCUGAGAGGAUGAUCAGCCACCCUGGAGCUGAGCCACGUUCCAGACUCCUACGGGAGGCAGCAGUGGGGAAUAUUGGACAAUGGGCGCAACCCUGAUCCAGCCAUACCGCGUGGGUGAAGAAGGCCUUCGGGUUGUAAAGCCCUUUUGUUGGGAAAGAAAAGCAGCAGGUUAAUACCCCGCUGUUCUGACGGUACCCAAAGAAUAAGCACCGGCUAACUUCGUG